AAGGUCUAUGUUUUGCUCUGAAAGAGACCCGAAAUAAGUGUCAGAUCAAAAAGUAAAAUAGGAGGUCCACAAUGGCAUUACGUAAAAAAGAAUCUGUGAAAGUAUCAUUAAAUUUUAUUCAGUGGUACCGUAAAGUUGGAGAUGAAGAUUAGAGAUUGCUACCCUUCAAUAUUAUAGAAAGAAUGGCAGCGUCAUUGUUUUGCUAUGCGAAACCCAAAAUAUGUGUCGGAUCAAAAAAUAAAAUAUAUAGAAGGUACACAAUGGCGUUCCAUAUGUUAUAUGCAAAUACAACAGACCCUCAGUUUCAUAAAGUUUUAGUUCUUGUAUAGAGGUUAUAUAGAACGAAAGAAUUGCACCCACUCCACAAUGUGACGCUUAAGUCUUGUCUGUGUCUCAUGCGAUUUAAAAUUUGGUGAGGCUUCACGGUUUAUAAAGCGUAAACUGCCCCAAGUUAUGUUAUAUAGUAUAAUAUAAGUUGAAAUAAGCUUCAUUCCUUAAAUAAAAAAGCAAUUGAAAGACAUCACAAGCCAGGCAUUCAGCAUCAGUAUGACAGAAAAUUGUAUGUUACAUAGAUCAUUUGAGUGUUAUUCCAUUUGAUUUUAUAUUUGUAAGUUAAAUAUAUUUAUGACAGGAAGAGAGGUUAAAGAAAUGAUACAACUGCAUCUUUUUUUUUUUUACAGUGAUGUUGUUUCUACAACAAUGUUGUGUGUGACCAAGUUUGAAUCAGGCUGCAAGAAUCAUUCAAUAUUUAAAAUAUCAAAACCAGUAAUACAACAGCUUCAUACAGCAUGCAAAGCUGUUUGUAAGGGCGGAUGCCUAUAUGGAUUGGAUUUUCCAAUUGAGAACUGCACGUAAGUAUUUUAUCUUAUAUUGUGUCUGGAAUCCCAACUUGAGAAUUGUCCACAGAAUAAAGACAUACAAAGGAAAAUUAAGGGAUUGAAAAAUCUUUGUUCUGACAUAUCUAGGAAGACAGGUAUGAAUUCCUUCAAGACUUGUCUUGCCAGCUCCAAAAUUAAACAGAACUGCAAGCAAUUCUUAAAACCACCUUUGCAAAAAGAAACGGAAAGUAACGAAUGCAAAAGAAUAUCAGAUUAUUCAUCAUGUGCUACGAUGGCUUUACCUACGUGUGAUAAUGAAGAAAUUAAGGAAUUUGUAUCAGAAACUGCUAAAACACUUACGAUUUUGAAUUCAAGGCGUGAAGGUGGCAUCCAGUGUCAAUCGAGUGACGGGAGAACAUAUUUUCCGGAUUUAUCGACCCUCGUUCUUACAGGUCUCCUUACGUGGAUGAGCAUUUCCUUUUAAAACAACUACCUCAGUAUUGUUUAUUACAAUGUAUUACUUUUUAAAAAAAAAAUUUUUAAACAAUUUUUCUUGUAAAUUUGGCUGUAUCUAAAACGAGUGCAUAGUGUAAAACUGCUUACGUAAAUAAUCGUAUGGAAGUAUUAGUUUCUCUAGAAUGCGUCUGAUAUUUAUUUAUUUAUAUUGAUGAAUAUUUUCUAUUAUAAAGAACGUUAGCUAGAAUUCAAAUCUGAACUCAUGCUCACACAUUGUUGAAAGGUAUUCUAAAGGAGUUAUUUGAAGAUAUCUGACAGUAGUAUGGAAUACAGUUUUAAGGUUCAUUACUUAAUCAACAAAUGUGAGCAUUACUUUAUAGAUGUAUGAAUGCAAUAAAGAUACAAAAAUACAUUGGUAAAAUAUUAAAAUAUUUUGAAGAAAAAAAUUAAAGCAAACUUUUAGAAUGUAUAUUUUACCUAGCGAAUUAUUUUCUUAUUCUGUAAU